UACGUAGGGGGCGAGCGUUAUCCGGAUUUACUGGGCGUAAAGAGCGCGCAGGCGGUCGGAUAAGUCGAGUGUGAAAGCCCCUGGCUCAACCAGGGAGGGUCAUUCGAUACUGUUCGACUCGAAGGCAGGAGAGGGAAGUGGAAUUCCGGGUGUAGUGGUGAAAUGCGUAGAUAUCCGGAGGAACACCAGUGGCGAAGGCGACUUUCUGGCCUGUUCUUGACGCUGAGGCGCGAAAGCUAGGGGAGCAAACGGG
rnacentral:rRNA from 1 species